CUGGGCUCCGGCCGGGAGUCGGUGGAGGGAGCGAGGGAGGGAGCGCGCGCGCGCUCCCGGACCGUCCACCGCAGCCGCUCGCCCCGAGCCUUCUCUCUGGUCGCGUUGCCCGCAACCGCCUCGACCUUCUCGCGCGCUUUGUUCGCGGGCUCUCAGGCUCUGGAACUCUCUGUCCACAGCGUGGCUAGACAGCCCUAGGAAUCGCAUUUCUGCCGGCAGCCCUAAUCAGCCACCGCCACAAAGGCCUCCCAGAUGGAAGCUGUUUUCUAGCACCAGCCCAAGGGCCUUGCUGGUGGUCUGGAAACCUCUAGAAGAUGCUACCCCCUUUCUGCUGCCCUCUUGUGGCAGCUGAGAUGGUAGCAUAGGACCAUGAUUCCUUCCCAUCUACACCAGCAUCUUCCCGCAUCUUCCUGAGGACAUUGGCACCUUGGGCCGACAAGCAAUAUGGAAACAGAUGUGGAGGCCCCAGUGUUUGCUGACACAGACUGUCCUUCAGGUCACCCUCUGUGGUAUGUCACUGAGGGGGAGCCAAUCUUCGAGUGCCUGCUCUAUCGGAGUCAGCUCCUGCCUGCAUCUGU